UAAAAAGACGAGAAGACCCUAUAGAGUUUUAUUUUCUAAGUUUUUAUUGGUUUUGAAGUUUUCUUUUUCUUAUUUGCUUGGAAAAUUUUGUUGGGGUGAUAGGAAAAUUGAUUUAACUUUUUUUUUGUUUUUACACUGAUUAGUGAAUUGUUGAUCCUGAAUUUUGGAUUAAAAGAUUAAAUUACCUUAGGGAUAACAGCGUAAUUUUUUUUGAAAGUUCACAUUUACAGAAAAGUUUGCGACCUCGAUGUUGGAUUAAAAUUAAUUUUCGGUGUAGAAGCUGAAAUAUUGGGUCUGUUCGACCUUUGAAAUUUUACAUGAUCUGAGUUUAAACCGGCGUGAGCCAGGUUGGUUUCUAUCUUUUA
rfam:Tribolium castaneum complete mitochondrial genome